AUACGUAGGGGGCGAGCGUUGUCCGGAAUGAUUGGGCGUAAAGGGCGCGUAGGCGGCCCGGUAAGUCUGGAGUGAAAGUCCUGUUUUUAAGAUGGGAAUUGCUUUGGAUACUGUCGGGCUUGAGUGCAGGAGAGGUAAGUGGAAUUCCCCGUGUAGCGGUGAAAUGCGUAGAGAUUGGGAGGAACACCAGUGGCGAAGGCGACUUACUGGACUGUAACUGACGCUGAGGCGCGAAAGUGUGGGGAGCAAACAGGAUUAGAUACCCUGGUAGUCCACACCGUAAACGAUGAAUGCUAGGUGUAGGGGGUAUCGACCCCUUCUGUGCCGCAGUCAACACAAUAAGCAUUCCGCCUGGGGAGUACGGCCGCAAGGUUGAAACUCAAAUGAAUUGGCGGGG
rnacentral:rRNA from 1 species